CCCCUCCGCCGCGUUCUGUAGGGGGCACUGCAGGGUCGCGCAUUUCCAGAGGGAAAGUUCCCGGGAAACUGCCCCCCGCCCCCAAUUAGCUCUGCCCCGCGCGCCCGCCAGCCGGGCCGUCCCCGGCCCAGCCCUCGAGAAGCCUCCACCCGGGCCGGCGGGACUCGGCGGGGGCUGCUCCGACUCCGAGCCCGGGCGGCGACUGGCGGGCGGCCUGCGUGGGCCGGAACCACCUGCAGGCCGGGUGGCCCGGAGUGCAGUCAGCUCGCCCCCCGAGCCCCCUCCUGCCCUCUUCAGAGAACCGAUCUUGGUAAAUAACAACCGAGCUGCUUUUCUGCACAAACAUCAAAUCAGGAUGUUAGCUGGUCUGCCCACCAUGGUGACUCCAGGGAGUGAAGUUCUGGUGGCUUCUUGGAAGGAGCUGGUGACAAGACAAAGAUGGCCCAGACACCUUUGCAAAGUGUCUCCAUAGAGUAACAAAUUGCAUUAACCACAUCAUGGACACCUUGUCAUUA
ensembl:lncRNA